CUAGCGCUGGGAAAUUUUGGUAGGACAUUAUCAUUUACUGAUAGAUGAAUCAAUUAGCCUACAUGGUUAUCCAGCAACAGUAGCAUAUUUAGAGUUAGCAAUCUAGCUAAGUGGUUUGAGUUCCCACUUCCUCAGGUGGUGAAUGACAUCAGCUACAGGUCAAAGAUGGCGGGUGAUUUCCCUGAAGAGACCAAAAUAAAUCUGAGAAUUCUGGAUCCUAUUUUGACAGGUUGCACAUAAAAAUGUGGCUACAUAUUAUAUGACAUUAUAUGACAUAAGUUACUUUUUAAAUCACAGGUUACCAUCUCAGUUACUGUGAUUUCAUUGGCUAAUCACAGGUUACCAUCUCAGUUACUGCAUUUUCAUUGGCUAAUCACAGGUUACCAUCUCAGUUACUGUAUUUUCAUUGGCUAAUCACAGGUUACCAUCUCAGUUACUGUAUUUUCAUUGGCUAAUCACAGGUUACCAUCUCAGUUACUGUAUUUUCAUUGGCUAAUCACAGGUUACCAUCUCAGUUACUGUGAUUUCAUUGGCUAAUCACAGGUUACCAUCUCAGUUACUGUAUUUUCAUUGGCUAAUCACAGGUUACCAUCUCAGUUACUGCAUUUUCAUUGGCUAAUCACAUGUUACCAUCUCAAUUACUGUGAUUUCAUUGGCUAAUCACAGGUUACCAUCUCAGUUACUGUAAUUUCAUUGGCUAAUCACAGGUUACCAUCUCAGUUACUGUAUUUUCAUUGGCUAAUAACAGGUUACCAUCUCAGUUACUGUAUUUUCAUUGGCUAAUCACAGGUUACCAUCUCAGUUACUGUAUUUUCAUUGCCUAAUAACAGGUUACCAUCUCAGUUACUGUAUUUUCAUUGGCUAAUCACAGGUUACCAUCUCAGUUACUGUAUUUUCAUUGGCUAAUCACAGGUUACAAUCUCAGUUACUGUAUUUUCAUUGGCUAAUCACAGGUUACCAUCUCAGUUACUGUGAUUUCAUUGGCUAAUCACAGGUUACCAUCUCAGUUACUGUAAUUUCAUUGGCUAAUCACAGGUUACCAUCUCAGUUACUGUAAUUUCAUUGGCUAAUCACAGGUUACCAUCUCAGUUACUUUACUCUCAGUUACACCAUCUCCCUUUAACACCAUCCCUCCAACACCAUCCCUUUA